GCUGCCCCGCUGGGCGUUAUUCCGUUAUUCACUUCUCUGCUGAUACCUGCUAACGCAGGGCGGAAUGAAGCACCUGGAUAUCCGCAAGCCCAGCACCUGACACUGAGCUGGAGCUACUGGUGUUAGAAGAUACUGUGGACAGAUUAUGCGAGAGGCCAACGCGCUGUGAGGCUGCCCAGAAACCAAGAAACUAUACCCACGACUACGGCCGCUGUACCUAGACUCCCUUCAGAACCCCGAACUAAAGCUCUUCCAAAACCAACCCUGGGACUCUGCUCUUCAGUUACCUCCGUGUUAAGGCCCAUCCAACCAUGUACACAAGUUACCAGUAUGUAUUUCUGCAUUCUUUCGGGAACGAAGUGAAUGAACUUCAAUUAAGAAUAUCCAACAUUCUUAGAUACAAGCUCUAAUGUUCAAAGCCGAACUUUCUCUUACCCUUAUUUUCCCCAGUCAAGCCACUUCCAAUUUUAAUAACCAAACUACCCUCCCAUUCAUUCAAUAAAAUGUCGUUAUGCCAAACAUUGACAGAUGCAACCAAAAACGGUUCUAGUUCUCAGAAAGCUAUACUACUUCAGUUCUAAAUGUUUAGACGUAUUAUGAGCAAGUUGGAGAAAUAUCUGUAGCUAGACGAACAAUGGACCAGACCUGGAAUUUCAGUUGUGAUGAAAAAAACAAUGAAAUUUGAGGGACUGCAAUAACUAGAACCAACUCCUAGAUGUUAUACAAAAAACAACUGUCACAAUUUAUUGUAGUUCUGGUCUAGAAUGCAAGGGAUAUAGGGGCACAGUGCUGAAUCCAGGCUCUGAAGACUUCCAUGACAGAACCAUAUGAUUAAUUCAUGGUUCUACUUAAGGAUUAGAAAAGAAAACCAAGAUGAAAUUCAACUUACUGUGCCUAUCAACCGAAGGGAUAGAAAGCAGUUGUAGAAUACCACGUCAAUUGGGAACAUUACACUCAUUCUUUUUAACAUUUAUGGAUGGAUGGAACACAUCGGCAAGCCACCAAAACUGUGGAGUCAGAAGGCAACUUUUGGAGUUGUUUCUUUCCACCAUUUGGAUCCCAGGGGUCAAAGUAAGGUAGUCAGGCUUGUCUUGAAAUGGCUUUACCUGCGUGUCACUUCAUGGUCCUCUUAUCAACAACUUCAGAAUGAGUUUGGAGUUGGAGGGGUUUGGGAGUUAGCUAUUUCUGGACAAAGUAGUAAAAACUGAUUAUUUUCAAAACUGUGGGAUUGGAUGAGGUCAUCUAACCAAGGCCCAGAACAAAAACAGUGGUACUAGAAAAUCUCUGAAAUUCAUUCACCACUAUCCUGUUUGCUGCAAACAAUUCUCAAGAGUAGAUGAUGCCAUAUCAAAAAAAUGUGCCCUCUAGAUUUUGACCCAUCAAACUUUUGUUCUCAAACAUUACAGUGAGGAUCUUUUAAAUGGCAGCUUAUUGGAUGGCUCACUAUCUCCACUCCCAAACAAUAAUAAACUAUUUAAAAACAUUUAAUGUCUCCCAAAUACUGACAAAAACUAAACAUUAAAGAAAGCUGCCCCGCCCCUUCCCCCAGCCUGAUCUUGCUAAUUCGUAAACCAGACAGCAGUCCCUGGAGCUUUUUAUCGCCCUAUUCCUCAUCCAUCUUAGUUCAAUUAUCUUUCCAUUGUCUUUCCUGAUCAUUUUAAGCAGGUCACAUUGUCAUGGCCUUCACAUUCAUAUUAACUACACUAUUCCAUCAUGCAAUUUACUGUACUUUUGAGUCACAACAUCAGUGGCUCUGACUGGUUACUUUUGUUACCACUGAAUGGCUAGCAGAGGACACCCAAAGUAAGUCCAGGCUAUCUCCCUAAUAGAAACAUAGAACUGAGAGGAAGCUAGUAUUUACAAAUAUAUUGCUGCCUUUGGUGGAUUAGAGACAAACUUGCUUGUUCUUUCAAUGGCAAUAGUGAAGGGGAGAACGGGAGGCUGCUGCACAGACUGGUUAAGCUUCAGAAUAGGUUGUUUCUAGCAGUGAAGACUGAGUCUAACUUGCUUCUUUUAAAAGAUGAGACUUGCCGGGCGUGGUGGCGCACGCCUGUAGUCCCAGCACUUGGGAGGCAGAGGCAGGCAGAUCUCUGAGUUCAAGGUCAGCCUGGUUCUACAUAGUGAGUUCCAGGCCAGCUGAGGAUGCAGGGACCCUGUCUCAAAAAAAGAAAAAGAUCAGACUCAUAUUUAAGUCUUUUCUUCUCUCACAAGAAGCAUUUAAGAGUUUUGGUAUAUGUAACAGACAAAAACUUUGCUCAAAGACAAUGAGGAAUCAAGUUUUCAUAUAAUUUAAUCUAACAAUUUAAAACAUUAUUCAUCUUUUUCCAGUGUCUAUAGAAUUCAAAAGAGGAAAGGGUUAUCUAAGAGGAGCUUUUAUUUCAUUUUGAGGGGAGUUUUCCCCACUUCAAUAACUCCAUAAAAAGGACAAGCUCAAGGACAAUACUGAUUCUUUGCAGCAUAACUUUUAUAGUCAAUAAAACUAAGAUUACUUAAGAACUCAAGUGGAAUACAGAUCGAGGAGCUUAAGGUUGAAAUGAAAAUGAAUUCAGUGUUUAUUUACACCUAUUUCACUUCAUUAGAUGUACCGUGGUAAAUAUAAUGAAUAUAAACUGCCUAGCACACACAGGAUUGCUGCUCAACUAUAUUCUACAUUUUAUGAACUGGUUGUCAGCUAAGCACCUUAGUUAGUGAACCUGAGAAUAAGCACACAUUCUCAUGUCUUCUAUAUGCCCCUAUAAAACAGCUGUGUGUGUUUUGUGUGUGUGUGUUCUGUGUGUUGUGUGUGUAGAUAAAAGAACUACAGAAGUUAAUUUGCUAAAAUCAUUAAAAGGUCAUGUUUUAAUAUCAAGAUACACUGAUCAAAGGGGGGGGGACUUUUCUCUAUUCUUUAGAAUAUUUAGGACCUGGUAAUAAAAUGACCCUUACCAAAGAAAUCAAUGACAUGCUACCUUUAUGAAAGCUUUUUUUAAAAAGUUUCAUUAUACAUAGAUGACUGGUAAUUGCACAUGUACAAAAGUAUUUUAUAUGUUGUCUUGCUACACUGAAACAUGUAUGACAAUCAUUUCCUUGUGCCUCUGCUAAAAUACGCAUUGGACCAAAAAAAAAGGCCUUCUGCAUCUAAGACAAGCAUUUACAUAUUAUACAGAAUACUGAGAACCAAGAUUCAGAUCUCAACAGAACUACUUUAGUUCUCUGCCCAGUGAGACAUUCCUUUAAAAACCAUGGUUUGAAUUGAGACAUACAUUUAAACUGUGAUGGAAGAAUGUUGCCUAAUUAUGUUUUGAAAAAAAACAAAUAAUGCUUUUAAGAAUUACAGAUGUAUUCAAACUACGAACACCUUUUACAUUCAUAUCUGCACUAAAGCACAGAAAUCUGAAACGCAGAAAGCAUUCUCCACAUCCUGUCUCUGAACUGUUAUUGAAUACUGCAUGAAUAACUUAUUUUACUUCAAUUUUGAUUUUUAAACACGAAUUUUCUACACAGCAAAUUUAGUUCUCGAGUACACAUCAUCUUGGGAUUAUUCAAUAAGCCACGAAUAUUUUAUCCAUCCCCUAAAAUACAGCUAACAUAUGGUUGUGGUACAUCCCAGGCAGAUGGCAUUUAAAGCACACAAGGGGAGGUGUGCUGGCAAAACACUCUCGGCAAAAGUAAACAAAAAACCCUUCCAAUAUGAUGUACCACAACCACACAUGAGAAAAGUCAAGAACUUAUUUUAUUUAUUUUAAAAUAAACAUUGAAGUUCCCCCAUUACCCACCACCCUACAAAACUUUUGAAUGUGGAAUGUUCAACAGCCUAUCAAUUUUAGUAGGUUACAAAACCAACAAAAACUCCAGUUGUCUUAAUGAUGAAUGUUUGAGAAAAAUUUCACUUUUGUUUUUAAGUAGCUGAACACCUGCUGGAAAAAAUUCCUUUGCUAAAGGCUAAAAGUAAAAUUUAAUUUCUAUACAUAAAAUACCAUUAACUUAGUAGCCUUUGCUUAACAGGUGGGAUUAAUUCUCCAUGAAUUCAAAAUGGAAUGGGACAACAAGCAGCAUUAAGUUCAUAGGCACACAGAACUAGUGCUCAAACUGCUAGCACAAUUUCCAACACAGAACAUAUGGCUAAGUCACUACCAAACUUUCCAUCUCCAUCAAACUGGACACUUUCCCUAUGUAUCUAAGGCAAAGAAUCUCCACUUUGAAUGUAAAUGCCUCCAUGAGAAAAGGAGAAUUCAAUUAGGGUUAAACUAGACAAAAAGUAAAUGAAUACUACAGAAAUAGCUGCUGGACAUAACCAUAAAAUCUGUGACACUAACAAUGGGUGGGCUGAAUCACAGAAGCUGCUAGCUGUUGAACACCAGUGUUUCAAGAUACAACUUUUAUAAACACGUUUUAUUUGUUUUGCUUAUACCAUCAGAACUGAAGCUGCUGUCUGUCGUUUCCCUAAAACAGGGAAAUCGAUCUAAAACACAUACUGGUGCUUUUCAAAAGAUAGCAAUUUAGAAGGGUGGUAGCAGCAGGCAUUGGGUAUCUUUUUCUUUAAAGAACUUUCAGGCUGCAGGAAAAUCAUGUGACCAAAGUGUUAUGAUUAUCCAUUAGAUUUUCAUCGGUACCUGUACCAAUUUAGGGAAUACAGCAAGAUCCAAGUAUUAGUGAUGACAAUGCACAUAUCAUGAGGGAUGACAGUGUCAAUCCUCAUGUAAGUCACUGUUUCAAAGAAACUG